GUUCAACAUAGCUCAGUUGGUAGAGCAUGAGACUCUUAAUCUCAGGAUCAUGGGUUCAAGUUGGGCAAAAUAUUCCUGCAUUGCAGGGGGUUGAACU